UACGGAGGAUGCAAGCGUUAUCCGGAUUCAUUGGUUUAAAAGGUGCGCAGACGUUGGAGCAAGUCAGUGGUGAAAGCCCGGGGCUCAACUCCGGGAUUGCCAUUGAAACUGUUUUCACUUGAGUGCAGUCGAGGACGGCGGAAUGAGUUGUGUAGCGGUGAAAUGCAUAGAUAUAACUCAGAACACCGAUUGCGAAGGCAGCUGUCUAGGCUACAACUGACGCUGAGGCACGAAAGCGUGGGGAGCGAACAGGAUUAGAUACCCUGGUAGUCCACGCAGUAAACGAUGAUCACUCGUUGCUGGCUACGUAGUAGUCAGUGACUAAGGGAAACCAUUAAGUGAUCCACCUGGGGAGUACGUCGGCAACGAUGAAACUCAAAGGAAUUGACGGGGGCCCGCACAAGCGGAGGAACAUGUGGUUUAAUUCGAUGAUACGCGAGGAACCUUACCUGGGCUUAAAUGCAGGCUGCAUUUCCGCGAAAGCGGGAUUUCCUACGGGACUGCUUGCAAGGUGCUGCAUGGUUGUCGUCAGCUCGUGCCGUGAGGUGUCGGGUUAAGUCCCAUAACGAGCGCAACCCCUAUCGCUAGUUGCCAGCAUGUAAUGAUGGGGACUCUAGCGAGACUGCCGGUGUAAACCGGAGGAAGGUGGGGAUGACGUCAAAUCAGCACGGCCCUUACGUCCAGGGCUACACACGUGUUACAAUGGCCGGUACAAAGAGCAGCCACCUGGCGACAGGGUGCUAAUCUUGAAAGCCGGUCUCAGUUCGGAUCGAAGUCUGCAAUUCGACUUCGUGAAGGUGGAUUCGCUAGUAAUCGCGCAUCAGCCAUGGCGCGGUGAAUAAGUUCCCGGGCAUUGUACACACCGCCCGUCAAGCCAUGGAAGCCGGGGGUACCUGAAGUCUGUAACC
rnacentral:rRNA from 1 species